CCCCUAGAUGUUCUGGGCCGCACGCGCGCUACACUGAACAGUUCAACAAGUCUUAACCUUGGCCGAUAGGUCUGGGUAAUCUUUGAACGCUGUUCGUGAUUGGGAUAGACCUUUGCAAUUAUGGGUCUUCAACGAGGAAUUCCUAGUAAACGCAAGUCAUCAGCUUGCAUUGAUUACGUCCCUGCCCUUUGAACACACCGCCCGUCGCACCUACCGAUUGAAUGGUCCGGUGAAAUCUCGGGACGGCGGCUUGGUCGCUUGCGUCCGACUGCUGAAACUUGAUUAAACCAUAUCAUUUAGAGGAAGGUGAAGUCGUAACA
rnacentral:rRNA from 1 species